GCCUAACACAUGCAAGUCGAGCGGCAACGCGGUGGGUAGAGAUACCUGUUGGCGGCGAGCGGCGGACGGGUGAGUAUUGCGUAGGAACCUGCCCAGUAGAGAGGGACAGCCAUUGGAAACGAUGGAUAAUACCGCAUGUCCUCGGGAGAGGAAAGUUGCCUGAGAAGGUGACGCUACUGGAGGGGCCUGCGUCCGAUUAGCUAGUUGGAAGGGUAAGAGCCUCCCAAGGCGAAGAUCGGUAACUGGUCUGAGAGGACGACCAGUCACACUGGGACUGAGAAACGGCCCAGACUCCUACGGGAGGCAGCAGUGGGGAAUAUUGGACAAUGGGGGGAACCCUGAUCCAGCGAUGCCGCGUGGGUGAAGAAGGCCUUCGGGUUGUAAAGCCCUUUAGGUUGGGAAGAAGGGUAUGGGAGGAAAUGCCUAUACUUUGACGGUACUGACAGAAUAAGCACCGGCAAACUCUGUGCCAGCAGCCGCCGUAA
rnacentral:rRNA from 1 species